rnacentral:tRNA from 1 species
GCCUGGAUGGCUCAGUCAGUUGAGCGUCUGACUUCAGUUCAGGUCAUGAUCUCACAUUCAUGAGUUCGAGCCCCGUGUCAGGCU